rnacentral:rRNA from 2 species
AACGAACGCUGGCGGCAGGCUUAACACAUGCAAGUCGAGCGCCCCGCAAGGGGAGCGGCAGACGGGUGAGUAACGCGUGGGAAUCUACCCAUCUCUACGGAAUAACGCAUGGAAACGUGUGCUAAUACCGUAUACGUCCUUCGGGAGAAAGAUUUAUCGGAGAUGGAUGAGCCCGCGUUGGAUUAGCUAGUUGGUGGGGUAAAGGCCUACCCAAGGCGACGAUCCAUAGCUGGUCUGAGAGGAUGAUCAGCCACACUGGGACUGAGACACGGCCCAGACUCCUACGGGAGGCAGCAGUGGGGAAUAUUGGACAAUGGGCGCAAGCCUGAUCCAGCCAUGCCGCGUGAGUGAUGAAGGCCCUAGGGUUGUAAAGCUCUUUCACCGGUGAAGAUAAUGACGGUAACCGGAGAAGAAGCCCCGGCUAACUUCGUGCCAGCCGCCGCGGUAA